UACGUAGGGGGCAAGCGUUGUCCGGAAUUAUUGGGCGUAAAGAGCUCGUAGGCGGUCUGUCGCGUCUGCUGUGAAAACUCGGGGCUUAACCCCGGGCCUGCAGUGGGUACGGGCAGACUAGAGUGCGGUAGGGGAGACUGGAAUUCCAGGUGUAGCGGUGAAAUGCGUAGAUAUCUGGAGGAAUACCGGUGGCGAAGGCGGCAUCCUGGACCGGCAUUGACGCUGAGUGAGCGAAAGCCAGGGGAGCAAACGGG
rnacentral:rRNA from 1 species